rnacentral:rRNA from 1 species
UACGGCGAGUGAACCGGGAUGAGCUCAAAUUUAAAAUCUGGCGUCUUUCAGGCGUCCGAGUUGUAAUCUAUAGAGGCGUUUUCCGCGCCGGACCGCGUCCAAGUCUCUUGGAAUAGAGUAUCAAAGAGGGUGACAAUCCCGUACUUGACGCGACAACCGGUGCUCUGUGAUACGUUCUCAAUGAGUCGAGUUGUUUGGGAAUGCAGCUCUAAAUGGGUGGUAAAUUCCAUCUAAGGCUAAAUAUUGGCGAGAGACCGAUAGCGAACAAGUACCGUGAGGGAAAGAUGAAAAGCACUUUGGAAAGAGAGUUAAACAGCACGUGAAAUUGUUAAAAGGGAAACGAUUGAAGUCAGUCGUGUGAAAGGUAUUCAGCCGUCUCUGGCGGUGUAUUUGCCUUUCACGGGUCAACAUCAGUUUGAUCCGGUAGAAAAAGGCAGGAGGAAGGUGGCACCCUCGGGUGUGUUAUAGCCUCUUGUCAUAUGUGCCGGACCAGACUGAGGAACGCAGCUUGCCGCAAGGCCGGGGUUCGCCCACGUACAAGCUUAGGAUGUUGACAUAAUGGCUU